ACGUGGAAGGGUGCGAGCGGCUCUCUGGUCGGUGACUGACGCUCAGGUGCGAAAGCGUGGGGAGCAAACAGGAUUAGAUACCCUGGUAGUCCACGCCGUAAACGAUGUCAACUUGGUGGUUGUGCCAUUGCGGCCUGCCUUGCGGAGCUAACGCGUUCAGUCGACCGCCUGGGGAGUACGGCCGCAAGGUUAAAACUCAAAUGGAUUUACGGGGGCCCGCACAAGCGGUGGAGCAUGUGGUUUAAUUCGAUGCAACGCGAAGAACCUUACCUGGUCUUGACAUCCACGGAAGUUUUCAGAGAUGAAAAUGUGCCUUCGGGAACCGUGAGACAGGUGCUGCAUGGCUGUCGUCAGCUCGUGUUGUGAAAUGUUGGGUUAAGUCCCGCAACGAGCGCAACCCUUAUCCUUUGUUGCCAGCGGUCCGGCCGGGAACUUAAAGGAAACUGCCCCCGAAAAGCAGAAGAAAGGAGUGGAUCAAGCCGAGGGGUCUCAGCCCUCACCACCGGGGCUGCUUUUU
rnacentral:rRNA from 1 species